rnacentral:rRNA from 1 species
AAAGCAUGGGGAGCAAACAGGAUUAGAUACCCUGGUAGUCCAUGCCGUAAACGAUGAUAGCUAGGUGUGGGGGGACUGACCCCUUCCGUGCCGCAGUAAACACAAUAAGCUAUCCACCUGGGGAGUACGGUCGCAAGAUUGAAACUCAAAGGAAUUGACGGGGGCCCGCACAAGCAGUGGAGUAUGUGGUUUAAUUCGAAGCAACGCGAAGAACCUUACCAGGUCUUGACAUCCAACUAACGAAGCAGAGAUGCAUCAGGUGCCCUUCGGGGAAAGUUGAGACAGGUGGUGCAUGGUUGUCGUCAGCUCGUGUCGUGGGAUGUUGGGUUAAGUCCCGCAACGAGCGCAACCCUUGUCAUUAGUUGCUACGCAAGAGCACUCUAAUGAGGCUGCCGUUGACAAAACGGAGGAAGGUGGGGAGGACGUCAAAUCAUCAUGCCCCUUAUGACCUGGGCUACACACGUACUACAAUGGCCGUUAACAGAGGGAAGCAAGACCGCGAGGUGGAGCAAACCCCUAAAAACGGUCUCAGUUCAGAUUGCAGGCUGCAACCCGCCUGCAUGAAGUCGGAAUUGCUAGUAAUCGCGGAUCAGCAUGCCGCG